CAUAGAAACAUAGAAAUUAGGUGCAGGAGUAGGCCAUUCGGCCCUUCGAGCCUGCACCGCCGUUCAAUAUGAUCAUGGCUGAUCAUCCAACUCAAUAUCCCGUACCUGCCUUCUCUCCAUACCCUCUGAUCCCCUUAGCCACAAGGGCCACAUCUAACUCCCUCUUAAAUAUAGCCAAUGAACUGGCCUCGACUACCCUCUGCGGCAGAGAGUUCCAGAGAUUCACCACUCUCUGUGUGAAAAAAGUUCUUCUCAUCUCGGUUUUAAAGGAAUUCCCCCCUUAUCCUUAAGCUGUGACCCCUUGACCUGGACUUCCCCAACAUCGGGAGCAAUCUUCCUGCAUCUAGCCUGUCCAACCCCUUAAGAAUUUUGUAAGUUUCUAUAAGAUCCCCUCUCAAUCUUCUAAAUUCUAGAGAGUAUAAACCAAGUCUAUUUCUAGAGGAUUAUGAAUUCAGAGGAAAACGUGAUUUGUAGCUAUUCGUACUAAGUGGUGCUGAUCCUGAGGAUACCAAUUAAGCAAAUUUCUGAAUUGUGCCAGAAAUGUAGCAAUAUUGCACCUACAAUUAGCCCCAAAGUAUAAGGUCUGGCUUGCAACUCAGAGACAACACUGGUGAAACUACAAAUGAAAGAACUAUGUGCAGAGGUCAUUUGACCAAUUUGUGAUGAGCUGCAACCUCUAGGCAUUAAGCAGGGAAUUUAAGUACCAUAACUGCAUGUUGACGAACUCCUGAAUAGAGGAUGUAUAAUGAACAUUUCAUCGUAGGCAUGGUAUAGUAUAUUCAAUCAUUGAUCUUCUUUGAAAAAUACAGUGAUUUCAACCAAAUACAGUAUUUCUCCAUUUUCAGAUGUCCAGGGAAUACACGAAGAAGGUGGAAAGCCUACCAAUCAAAAGAGUGAAUGAACUGCUGGCAGGUGCACCCACUGUUGCAGAACUCUUCAAUAUGGACCAGACAGCAUUUAUUUCCAUGGAUUCCUUCCAAACAGACGGCUUCUUGAAUUCUCUUCACUAAACACAGAUGGAGCAGUACAGAACACAUGACAGAAUGCUUAAGGGGUGACCAACAUUAGAAAUUACACAUAUGUUACAUUCCUCCUUUAAUUAUGAGAAACUAAAGAAGAAAGACAAACAACCCAAAUAAUUGUCAAGCCUCUGUGUAUUUUACUCUGGCACAGAGACGUUGAGAUACUUGGAUCAACGUGCUAUCCUAUCAGAUCUCAUCCUAUCAGGUUAUGGUUCUCCCAGGAACUGUUGUCAACCAUCAAUAUUCUCGCAAGAUUAGUGCUGUAUCUUCUACUAUUUCCAUAUCUACUUCUGUCAAACAAACCUGUUCAGUGGUCUUCCUGAGAUGGUGCUGUUCUUCCAACAUGGAAGACUCACUUCUUCAUCGUGAGCAGAUAUGUCCAGAGGUAUGGUGUGUGCCGAGCCGCCACUGUUUUCUUGAUUAUUUGAUCAUCUAAAAGCUUAUGCAAUGGAUCCUCAGCCUGACCAAGUCUGGGAAUGGUUGGAUGCUGCAGAUUUUCAAUCAUGUUUCUGAGCACUUCUUUAAUUUACUAUAUCCAUACUCCCUCAGGGCAACCCACCCUAUUAGAACUAUUCAUCAUUUUGGAGCUGUGUCUCAUUCUUCCAACAUCUUUCAAAUCAUUCCACCAUCUCGCUCGUCAUGACCACAACCCUGCAUCCAAAAGUAUAUGCUGAAACCUUUCCAUUAUUUUUAAAUAUUGCUAAUGAAGGAGUGCUAUAAAUUGUACAUGUUAUUCCAUCUGCAGUUUACCUGCACUUGUAUAACUUCAGCACAAUCUCAUCACUUUUGCAUUCUGAGCCUUGAAAUGAAAUCAAGGUUUUUUUCAUUUCUUUACUAGGUAAUGUAUGUGCUAACAACCUUUAAUAAAUU